rnacentral:rRNA from 1 species
GAUGAACGCUGGCGGCGUGCCUAAUACAUGCAAGUCGAGCGAACAGACGAGGAGCUUGCUCCUCUGACGUUAGCGGCGGACGGGUGAGUAACACGUGGAUAACCUACCUAUAAGACUGGGAUAACUUCGGGAAACCGGAGCUAAUACCGGAUAAUAUAUUGAACCGCAUGGUUCAAUAGUGAAAGACGGUUUUGCUGUCACUUAUAGAUGGAUCCGCGCCGCAUUAGCUAGUUGGUAAGGUAACGGCUUACCAAGGCGACGAUGCGUAGCCGACCUGAGAGGGUGAUCGGCCACACGGGAACUGAGACACGGUCCAGACUCCUACGGGAGGCAGCAGUAGGGAAUCUUCCGCAAUGGGCGAAAGCCUGACGGAGCAACGCCGAGUGAGUGAUGAAGGUCUUCGGAUCGUAAAACUCUGUUAUUAGGGAAGAACAAAUGUGUAAGUAACUAUGCACGUCUUGACGGUACCUAAUCAGAAAGCCACGGCUAACUACGUG